CAUGAAGCUGGAAUCGCUAGUAAUCGUAGAUCAGCAUGCUACGGUGAAUACGUUCCCGGGUCUUGUACACACCGCCCGUCACACCACGAGAGUUUGUAACACCCGAAGCCGGUGGAGUAACCUUUUAGGAGCUAGCCGUCGAAGGUGGGACAAAUGAUUGGGGUGAAGUCGUAACAAGGUAGCCGUAUCGGAAGGUGCGGCUGGAUCACCUCCUUU
rnacentral:rRNA from 1 species